AGAGUUUGAUCCUGGCUCAGAUUGAACGCUGGCGGCAUGCCUUACACAUGCAAGUCGAACGGCAGCACAAGGAGCUUGCUCCUGGGUGGCGAGUGGCGAACGGGUGAGUAAUGUAUCGGAACGUGCCCAGUAGUGGGGGAUAACUACUCGAAAGAGUGGCUAAUACCGCAUGAGAUCUCUGGAUGAAAGUGGGGGACCGUAAGGCCUCACGCUACUGGAGCGGCCGAUAUCAGAUUAGGUUGUUGGUGGGGUAAAGGCCUACCAAGCCUGCGAUCUGUAGCUGGUCUGGGAGGACGACCAGCCACACUGGGACUGAGACACGGCCCAGACUCCUACGGGAGGCAGCAGUGGGGAAUUUUGGACAAUGGGCGCAAGCCUGAUCCAGCAAUGCCGCGUGCAGGAUGAAGGCCUUCGGGUUGUAAACUGCUUUUGUACGGAACGAAAAGGCUCUGGUUAAUACCUGGGGUCUAUGACGGUACCGUAAGAAUAAGCACCGGCUAACUACGUGCCAGCAGCCGCGGUAAUA
rnacentral:rRNA from 1 species